AAAAUUGGUAGCACUUGAUCCAUUGAACGAGCUAUCCGAUCUAAAUCAAGCUAUCCGAUCUAAAAAGAGCUGUAAACAAGCUAUCUGAUCUAAAAAGAGCCGUCAACAAGCUAUCUGAUCUGAAACUACAAAAUCAACCAUAAGCAACUUAGCUACAAUAAUCUGAACCUGGAUAGAGAAAUUACGGGGAGGAGUUGGAACCCAAAUAUGACAACAUUUUAUGGAUCAGGAAAUGAACCAACAAUGUCAACUCAGGAUAGUAGUGUCAUUCUCCUUAAGCAGCAAUAUCGUCGAAGCAAUAGUACCCAACCACUGGAUGAUAACAGAAUUAGGUACCCA
rnacentral:lncRNA from 1 species